rnacentral:rRNA from 1 species
AAUGCGAGACUAGCAAUCCCAUAAACCGUGGCUCAGUUCAGAUCGUAGGCUGCAACUCGCCUACGUGAAGUAGGAAUCGCUAGUAAUCGCAGGUCAGCAUACUGCGGUGAAUACGUUCCCGGGCCUUGUACGCACCGCCCGUCACACCAUGGAAGUUGGCCAUGCCCGAAGUCGUUACUCCAACCCUUGUGGAGGAGGACGCCGAAGGUGGGGCUAAUGACUGGGGUGAAGUCGUAACAAGGUAGCCGUACCGGAAGGUGCGGCUGGAUCACCUCCUAA